rnacentral:piRNA from 1 species
UGGGAUACAAAGUGUUCUGAGGUGGGGG